UUCAAGAUCUUUUACUCUACACAAGGAAAAAGUAUCACAAUCCAAUUAUUUACAUUACCGAAAAUGGUGUGGAUGAGUUGAAUGAUCCGAAAUUAUCACUUGCUGAAGCCCUUAAUGAUACCCACAGAAUUGACUACUACAAUCGCCACCUUCAUUAUGUUCAAAAUUCUAUUGAGAAUGGUGUCCAAGUGAAGGGAUUCUUUCCGUGGACGUUGCUAGACGACUUUGAAUGGAAUUCGGGAUUCAGUGUUCGAUUUGGUAUCACCUAUGUAGAUUACAAUAAUAGGCUUAAAAGGCACCCAAAACUCUCGGCGCACUGGUUCAAAAGUUUCCUUAAGAAGUAUUGAAAACUUCAGAUCAUAUUCGUCAUUCAAUAUUUGUAUUCAAUUCAAUAAUGUGAAUUUUAUGUAUGUACAAUAAUACUAGGGAUUCCAAAUUUGUGUACAUACAAAAUUCGAAUUCCAAAUAUGUGCACAUUCAAUAAUUUCAAUUUUAGUCCUUGUAUAAGAUUAAAAUUCCAUUCAACCCCCUUGUAAAAUUAAACAUUGAUUUUUUAGUCCUUUGAUGAGUGUCAA